UACAGGGGGUGCAAACGUUGCUCGGAAUUAUUGGGCGUAAAGCGCGCGUAGGCGGCCGCUUAAGUCGGAUGUGAAAGCCCCUGGCUCAACUGGGGAAGUGCACCCGAAACUGAGUGGCUUGAGUACUAAAGAGGGUCGCGGAAUUCCCGGUGUAGAGGUGAAAUUCGUAGAUAUCGGGAGGAACACCGGUGGCGAAGGCGGCGACCUGGGUAGAUACGUGACGCUGGAGGCGCGAAAGCGGUGGGGAGCAAACA
rnacentral:rRNA from 1 species